CCUACGGGAGGCAGCAGUGGGGAAUAUUGCGCAAUGGGCGAAAGCCUGACGCAGCGACGCCGCGUGAGGGAUGAAGGUCUUCGGAUCGUAAACCUCUGUCAGCAGGGAAGAACGGUCACUGUGCUAAUCAGCAGUGAAUUGACGGUACCUGCAAAGGAAGCACCGGCUAACUCCGUGCCAGCAGCCGCGGUAAUACGGAGGGUGCGAGCGUUAAUCGGAAGUACUUGGCGUAAAGCGCUCGUAGGCGGUAUGUCAAGUCAAGGGGGAAAUCCCCGCGCUCAACGUGGGAACUGCCUUUGAAACUGGCAAACUGGAGUGUGUGAGAGGAUAGUGGAAUUCCAGGUGUAGGAGUGAAAUCCGUAGAUAUCUGGAGGAACAUCAGUGGCGAAGGCGACUAUCUGGCACAUAACUGACGCUGAGGAGCGAAAGCGUGGGUAGCAAACAGGAUUAGAUACCCCAGUAGUC
rnacentral:rRNA from 1 species